CAUUUAAAGAAAGCGUAAUAGCUCACUGGUCGAGUCGGCCUGCGCGGAAGAUGUAACGGGGCUAAACCAUGCACCGAAGCUGCGGCAGCGACGCUGAUGCGUUGUUGGGUAGGGGAGCGUUCUGUAAGCCUGCGAAGGUGUGCUGUGAGGCAUGCUGGAGGUAUCAGAAGUGCGAAUGCUGACAUAAGUAACGAUAAAGCGGGUGAAAAGCCCGCUCGCCGGAAGACCAAGGGUUCCUGUCCAACGUUAAUCGGGGCAGGGUGAGUCGACCCCUAAGGCGAGGCCGAAAGGCGUAGUCGAUGGGAAACAGGUUAAUAUUCCUGUACUUGGUGUUACUGCGAAGGGGGGACGGAGAAGGCUAUGUUGGCCGGGCGACGGUUGUCCCGGUUUAAGCGUGUAGGCUGGUUUUCCAGGCAAAUCCGGAAAAUCAAGGCUGAGGCGUGAUGACGAGGCACUACGGUGCUGAAGCAACAAAUGCCCUGCUUCCAGGAAAAGCCUCUAAGCAUCAGGUAACAUCAAAUCGUACCCCAAACCGACACAGGUGGUCAGGUAGAGAAUACCAAGGCGCUUGAGAGAACUCGGGUGAAGGAACUAGGCAAAAUGGUGCCGUAACUUCGGGAGAAGGCACGCUGAUAUG
rnacentral:rRNA from 1 species